rnacentral:lncRNA from 1 species
UGAAUUUUGGCUAUAAAGUCAUAUUUAUACCUUAAUUCAUUGGAGUGGCAAACUUGUAAAUAAGUCCAAAACCCACUCCAUCUCUAAAUGGCCGGCCUUAAGGGUUUCAUUGGGCUUUUAAGGCCUUUGUGAAUUAUUAGUCAUUAAGUUGUCAUACAACUUAAGUCAAUGGGCUUGACGUUCGAAGCCCAUUGGGCCUUGAGGCCCAUAACUAAACCCGUGGUCUUUAACGAACUUAUUCGUUUGAUUAAUUAACAUAUUAAUUAAUCCUUGCCAUAAAUAAUUAAACCAUUUAAUUAUCCUUACUCAUCUCCUUUGUUUCUUCAAUCUCCACCUUACACGGUGUACGAUCUAUUAGGUUCCUUUUAGCGAGGCAGUGGGCGAUUAAAACCAUUUCAAAUCGAUUGUGAAUUGAAACUUACUUUCAAUUCUCCCUUUAGUGAUUAUACACGUUUAGGGCUUCCACAAACCAUGAGUGACACCUAGCAGCAUAUCAUGUUUACCCAAGCUAAUCAGAAGAGGUGGAGAACCUAUUCAGUUUAGGAUUACAAAUGCAAUAUUGUCUUUCUCUAAUACAAUACUCUUGACCACAUUGUUUGGUUUGAUAGUUUAUUCAUGUCUACUAUCCAAUGUGAUUUGUGUGCUUAUAUGAUUACCUUGAAUGUGAUUUGGAGCGACUUCCUAAAUCUCAUUCAUACUCUGGCCAGAGAUUCUUAAUCAUAUCAUAGAAUAUUCUCCCUCAAACAGUUUGAAGGUUAGAGAUCCCUUGUUGCGCAUUCACUUACCUCCAUGGCUAAGUGGCUUAACCCCAACUAUGCAGUGGACACCCUCUUUUUGGAGUGACUUUUGACAUAAUCAAAGAUCAAGGACUUAACCACAAGACAACUAUGAUGCCUCAGGUCAAAGGACUACUUUGCAUUAUCUCAACCAUGAGUUCUCAUGUGACAUGAAUAUGAGAACUCUUCGUUGAUUGUGUUCAGUGAACUCAUUCUCUAUUGAGCACUUACGUACUUGUCUUGAUGUCACACACACCAAUGACUCGAGACUAGUCACUCUCCCUGAGAGAAGACACAACACGUACUGAUCUUAACGGACUGUCAAUGCCCAAUUGGCAAUCCUAUGAUCAGGAACGUUUAGGAUAUGAAUACAAAAGAAUGGUCUCAUGAAUCUAACUUCUUUAGAUUGCAUUCUCCCAAACACAUAUUCCUUGGAUUUAUCGUUUAAGCAUAUAACAUUUAUAUGAGACGGCUUAAAACAAUAAUCUUUGCCCUUUAUAUUAAACUAGAUUAGUUUAACAUGUGAAAUGUCCGUAAAGUAUCAUCAUAUGAUUGGUUUUAGGGCACAUUUCCAACAAUCUCCCACUUGCACUAGAGCCAAUCAGCUUGGUCAUCAGUGAUGAUACCUCUUCUGUAGUCAUUUCAUAAAUGGCUGAAUAGUAGGCCUAGACAAUGGAUAUCUAUAUGUUAUCCAUAGAAGCAACCUUGAGAAUAACGACGUCACCAUUAUACAUGAUUCUUAAUCAUGUGGUUCAGUCUCUCAUUUGAGUUCGGAUCUUGAUGAGACCUUGAUUCCCUGGCUUGAGCUAUCGCCCCAUUAGUGUCGUAGUGUCGGUACACUAGAGACACUUUCUGGUUGGAACCGAAUAGAGAGUUCAUAAAUGAACUUUCCCAUCCAAACAACAAUGUUGUAAGCUUCUAUAUGGCAAUAUAUAUUUUGCAUUCAUAAUGGAACAUACUAAAGUCUUUACUUUUAAUGUUUCCAUCCAAAUAUCUCUUUAGUCAUAAUAAAAAGAUAUCUGAUUAUCUCUUCAUUCAUAAUGAAGAAACAUCCAAUGAUGGAUUAGAUUCAUAAUCUAAUACAUUUACGCUUCCUUUACGUUACUCUAAUUCUUCCUCAUUCUUUGAGGAAUCUAUCCUUUAGUAUUUCUUAAAUACUUAAGGACUCACUUGACAGUUGCCAUGGUUCUGAUCCUGGGCUUGCACUGAUAUCAUCUUGUACCGUUCUAGGUACAACUCAUAUCAAUGUUUUUCAUACAAUAUGAAAUACAUAAAUCACCUUUAUGCGUAAAGGAUUCUAUUUACGCAUUAUUUCUUUGGGAGUCAAAGAGUACAUUCUCUUUGAGAAGAGCAACUUCUUAGUCUCACUAGAGUUGUCCUUCUAGUUGAAGUUUAUCAUCAUAUGAGAAACUUCCUAGCAUCUAUUGUCUAUUAUUAGGGAUUGAUAUAAUCCAAUUAUAUCAUGAAAUAUAUCAUUAUAGAUUUCCAUCCCAUGUAUAUAGACUAUAUCUCCCAUAUACAUUCUAUCUUCAUAUAAUGUUUUAAAGUCAUAACUUUAACGAAGAAGAAUUCUUUUCAUUUCCAAAAUUAAUAUAUCAAAUAUAUAUUUAAAUUUUAGGAACAUGAUUAACUCCCACUAAUCUUUUGUAAACCUAGUAAACAAAAGAUUCAUUUACAUCUUUAUGAGAAAUCAAACGUUUUGAUCUUUCUCAUAAGAUGCUUAUAGCUCCCACUAGCUUGCUUAGAUUCAUGAUGGAUGGAUCUCUACAACUUACAUGUCUUGUGAUUCAUAGUUUUAGACAUAUAUUAUUAAGACCAUCUUAAUAAUGGUUUCGGAAACCCAUAUUAUGUCCAAACAUUGAAUCACCAUUUAGUUGUAGCUAGCUAUCUUCGAAUUAAUUGAAACCAAGACUACGUCAAAGAUGGUUUCUUCAAAGUCAACCAUUCUUUUUUAUUGUAGUUAUCUUAAGCUACCAAUUAGCUUAUGAAGGUUUCAUUAUUUCGGGUCAAAUGGUACUUUACCAUUUCCUUGAGUAUAUAUCAUAUAUACACUCAAUGUAGUCAUAAGGAUUUUCAUUCUUAUUUCUUCGAAUUAAGAGGUGCAACUCUAUGACAUAGUCAUAAAGUUCAAACCAUUCAACUGAGACGGUUUAUAAAUCCUUCUUGACUACCUUGGAGCUUGUGGUAUAGGAACUAGGUUGUUAUAUUUGUUGAUUAUCAUCUUGUCUCUCAAAGAACUCAUUCUUUGAGUUCUAUCUCUCGUUCAUUUGCUCUUAGGCAAAUCACAUUGUAGGAUUACAAUGAACUACCCAACAAAACAACAUUUGUUAGUUGGUUUAUAGAAGCGAUAUCCAAAAGUUAAUUUAAGGAUAUCCCACAAGAUUGUUAUCAAACAAAUAUUGCUUAUUAGCACACAACCCCAAAUCUUAACAUGAUUAAGAUUUGCCUUUCUUUCCAACUACAUCCUAUGGAGUCAUGAAAAUUUUUGGAAGAUCUUCUAAUUGACAAUCAUAUUGUCUUAGAAGUAUAUAUCCUAUAUAUGGGUAAUUGAUAAUAUCCAAUGAACUAAAUCUUAUUCAAGUUCGUUCUUCUCCUUAUGGAGAAAUCCAUUAUCAUAUGAUGCUUCUUUCCUUGCGAUCUUUCAAGAAAACUAUUCUAAAGUGUUACCAUUCCUUGGAUCAAAUCUAAGGAUGUAAAUACUUUAGACGUCUUACUCAUCAACUUACAUUUCUUGAAUUCUUUGAAACCUUUACAAAGUAUUCGGACUUGUGUUUAUUCAAAAUAAACUAUAGUCCAACCGAGAGUGAUCUUCGGUGAAUGUCAUACAACAUGAGUAGUAUUAUGUUUGUGGACAACUGCCACUAACAUCUAAGUGAAUUAACCUCAACAACUUUGUGAUUCUUUCUUCUUUCCAAAAGAAUAAAGAUUCGAACAUUUCGCCUCUAUACAAUUUUAACAAGAAGGUAUUGGAUCCGGAUCUAACGAUCCAAAACAUCCAUCUAUGACCAACUCGUAAUUUAUGUUUUAGAGGUAUCACAACUCAGUUGGGAUUAGUCACUACCUUGCAACCUUUUGGGUUUUAAGCAUCGUUAUAUUCUAAACAAUUAACACUACCAUAUCAUCUCUACUAUAGAGACAAUCAAUUAGAUUACUAUAAUCCAAUCACUGAUUUAAUAAAGAACAAUGUUUUGUCAAACAAAACAUUCAUCCAUCUCUACUAUAGUGACGGAAUUAAGUUCCUUAAAAUUGGAAUGUAAAGACAAUCUUUGGUUUUUCCAAUUUCUUUGGUAGUUCAUAUGAGGAAGUAAGUACUAUCUGCUUUCGCAGAGAUCUAUAUUUUAUUCACGUUCCGAAUGUGAAGCACCUUUUUCUUCUCUCAUAUAUCUUCUACUUCUUAUUAGUCACAUAUUUACAACGAUUGUAAAACAUAGUUACUAAUAUGGAAUCAAGGAUUCAAGUAGAAGAAUAAACUGUUUUGAACUAUUCAAGAACAAUUUACAAUACAUUCGAAAUGUGUGUUCUUGACACUUGCAAGACAUUUCUUGCAAAUACCCCUUCCAAUGUCCAUCCUUUCAUAAAGAAAGAUUGUUCCCUUGGAGUUAAUUUUAUCUUCUUUAUUUGACUUCUCCUUUGACUACAAUAGUCAUGGUCCCUAAACUCCCACUAUCUCUGUUGAAACUUAUUUCAAUUGUGUUAUACACAUCAAAUGAUUUGGAGAGCGUGUGGUUAUUGUUCACUAUAUAGUUUACAAUAAACUUAGUGAACCAUUUGGAUAGGGACACAAAGGUGAAGUCCUUGCCUAGUUUCCGUUUCUAGAAGCGGUUUAACACUUCAACACUCAAUGAUUCAAAAUCAUCAUAAGUCCAUGUUGAUGGACUAUUUUUGUCAACCAACCAUUAUGUUCUAAACAUAAUUACAAACUUUUAAGAGUUGUUCAAGACAACUCUCAUUUCUUCAUACAACAAUUUGUAAGUGAAGAAUCAUGACACAUAAAGUGUCCAUGCCCUUGUGCUUACUUCUAAAGUUCCUUGUUCAUUUAACAAAGAAACAAGCACUAAUGUUUGCAUUGACUAAGGGUUGUUCAAAUUAACUCUUAUUUCUUCAUACAACGAUUUGUAAGUGAAGAAUUAUGACAUUAAAAGUGUUGUCCUCCUUAUGAUAGACUUAUCUAACAUUUUCUUCCAAUAGUACAUUAUCAAUAGGAAGAUUGUGAGGAUGAGACUACUUAGGUACAUAUGAAAUCCAUUUAAGACAAUCUUUGGGAUUGUUGUACCAAGUCCGGAAACUAAAGCAUUCAGCUUUUAUUUGUCGAGUGUUGGAUAGCGUUUGCGAAUAUAUUGGUAAAUUAAUACAUAACGAAUAUAAAUCGAUUGAUUUUAAGCCAUUUGAUCCAGGCCUUUAAAUCAAAUAGCACCACCCACUAUUUUUGGCAAAUUCCAUAUCCCUCAUUGGAAUUCGAGAGUUUUGGAUGAAACUCUUAGUAGGGUAUGGGAGACUCACCAUUACUAAGCCCACCUCAGAAGAAAAUCAUACUGGCUAGCGUUAAUAAUAAUGAGAGAGUACGCUUACUCAUUUGCAUCUCUUGCAAGUACCCAUCUAGUUUGGCCUCUAGAGAAUGAUGCCUCAGAAGAAUAUCAUAUUGGCACAUUGCACUUAGUUAAGUCAUUCCCACCAUGCUAGUUAAAGUAGGGGUUCAAGAAUGGCCUCAGAAGAAAAUCAUAUUGACCAUACUCGUUGCCUACCUUUACUUCAUCAUAUGUUUAUAGGCUUCUCCUGAAUGUAAGCACAUACUUUGCAACCCUAGAACUGGACGAAUACGGUGUACGAGUCACAAACGAUUGAAGCCUACCACGGUGGAAGGCCACGAAAGAGUGUUCAAAGCACUCUCACGCUUAUCAACUUAAUAAUGGUUUGUAUGAGGGUUUUUAGGACUCAACACAUAUAAACUUUCAUUUUAAUCUUAUUAAAACAAUUUUGGUCCUAUUACAACUAUUGGUCCAUUUGAUUGUUUUUAGUUGUAUAUAAUACUCCCACUAUGCUUAUAAAACGGUUUUUAAAGCAAGAGUAUAUGAUACUACUAACAUAAACUUUGCAUUCAUUUGAUGGACUAUAUAGUUGCCUUAGGGCCUUAGGAUGACUAUGGACCUUUGUUUAGAUUCAACACGAGCCUAGUGUUGAAUCUCGGUCUAGGGAUGGUGAUUGAUUUUAGUUACGCGUUUAAUCACAUUAAGGCGUGUUGUCUUAUGGGCGUUGGACCCUCUACUCCAUUUUCAUGCAUAUCAAAUAAUACAAGAAAGGAGUACUUCAAAGUAAAGAUGAGCUUAUGCUCUUUACAACAUUUGAAUAAUACAAAUUACUUUAAAGUAAAGAAGAGCUUAUGCUCUUUUACAACAUUUGAUCAAAUCAAAUUACAACCAAAAUCUAAUCUACACAUUCCCAUGGUUCAAACAAAUUUGAAACGGCCUUUCACAUAGCUCAAUUAUAUUAGGCUUAGGUUCAUAAUCACCCUUUCUUUAAUCAAUUAACGCUAUAACCAAUUAAACUUGAAUGCAACAUUUUCAUUUGGUUUUUGUAUCCAUAGAAUUGAUUUAAAUGGAGCUAAAUGAAAUGAAAAUCCAAUUCUCAUUUAAAGAGACAAAACAAUUUUGUUCUCAACCUAAUUUGGGCCAAUAUGCAAUUACCACAACCUUUGGGCUAUAUUGCAAAAAACAUAAACUUUUGGGGUCACUUUGUAAAAACACAAAAGUCCACUACUUCAUGUAAUUACAACUAGAACCCAAAAUUUAAACAAUGCAAAAACUUCAUUAAAGGAGCAAAACAAUUUGUCCUUUAGCAUUUUUGGACCUAAACGUAAAAACGUAAACUUUUGGGCCAAAGUGCAAAUACACAAAAGUAUCAAAAUUUUAUGUAAUCGCAUAAAAGCGCCAAAAGUACUCCCAUUGAGGGAGUGGCCGGUUUUGGAGAGGAAAAGGAGUGAUGUGUGUGUUGAUUUGUGAGUUUUGACAUAAAGCAAGCAAGUGGUGCAAGUGGUGCAAGUGGUGUGUGUGAAAGGGAAUUAAUCAUUUCACACCCACCAUUAUUUCUACCACCAUUUGAACAAAUAUCUAACACAUUAAAUCAUUUGAAAAACAUAAAACAUAAACUUUAUGAAAUAAAUCAAAACUUUGAAUCAAAACACCAAACUUUUUGUUCUUGGCAAAAAUGUCAAGAACAAUGAAGAACACUCAUGAAAAACUCAAAAAAUUUCCACGAACAUUUUUCACCCAAAAACAUUCCAAAAACCCAUUCAAAACUUAAGGGAAAUAACAUACAUAUAACCAAACUAGGGUACAUAGGGGUUCCAAAAGUUACUUGAAAACACUUUUAACAAGUCAAACAAGAACCCAAAAAUCCAACCUUUGGAUUUGGCCGAAAAUUCCCAAAAACAUGGCACCAAAUUUUAGCUCCAAUAUUCAUGCUCAUAUGAACUACAUCUAAAACAUUUGAGAUGGCAAAUUUUCUAACAAAAUUUACAUUCAAAGAAACAAGAAUAAAGCUUGUAACAUAUUACAACAUUUAAAUCAAAACUAUGAACUACAAAACCCAAAAGGAUUCACCAACUUACUGGACUUAGGCUCUGAUACCACUUGAAGGAAGAUUUGUGAAAAACAUGUUCAUUUAAGCAACAUCUAUAAGCAUGCAAUUAACAAUUAAAGGCGGAAUCAUGCUUGCAUGCACUUAAAAACAAAACAUUAGCCAUGAAAUUCAAAGCCUAGUAGAUUGGUGAACCAAGACUCAACUCAAAUCAAAGUGAGUUGAGAAAUUAUACCUUUGUGGAUUCCUCUUUGCAUAAGCAAAGGCUAAUCACCCAAAGAGAGGGCCUUCAUUCCUUGCAUCUUAGAUCUAUGGAUUUGGAUGGAUGAAAAUGGUUCUCCAAGUUCUCAAAAUAGAGAACCUCUAAGUCUCCACACCAAGGUUAGAUUGAUGAAGAAAUGAGUGACCUUGGAGGAGAAAGAUUACUAGCUAAUCCCUCCAAGGGGGCCGGCCUCUUUAGAGAGAAAGGGAGAGACAUGUUCUCUCCAAUUUUCUCCAAAAGAAACCCUAAAUGAAUUUUGGCUAUAAAGUCAUAUUUAUACCUUAAUUCAUUGGAGUGACAAACUUGUAAAUAAGUCCAAAACCCACUCCAUCUCUAAAUGGCCAGCCUUAAGGGUUUCAUUGGGCUGUUAAGGCCUUUGUGAAUUAUUAAUCAUUAAGUUGUCAUACAACUUAAGUCAAUGGGCUUGACGUUCGAAGCCCAUUGGGCCAUGAGGCCCAUAACUAAACCCGUGGUCUUUAACGAACUUAUUCGU